AAUGAACGCUGGCGGUAGGCCUAACACAUGCAAGUCGAACGGCAGCACAGUAAGAGCUUGCUCUUACGGGUGGCGAGUGGCGGACGGGUGAGGAAUACAUCGGAAUCUACUUUUUCGUGGGGGAUAACGGGGGAAAACUGACGCUAAUACCUCAUACGACCAACGGUAUAAAUCAGGGGUGCUUCGGGCCUUUGCCGAUUAAAUGAGCCGAUUUCGGAUUAGCUAGUUGGCGGGGUAAAGUCCCACCAUGGCGACGAUCCGUAGCGGGUCUGAGAGGAUGAUCAGCCACACUGGAACUGAGACACGGUCCAGACUCCUACGGGAGGCAGCAGUGGGGAAUAUUGGACAAUGGGCGAAAGCCUGAUCCAGCCAUACCGCGUGGGUGAAGAAGGCCUUCGGGUUGUAAAGCCCUUUUGUUGGGAAAGAAAAGCAGCAGGUUAAUACCCCGCUGUUCUGACGGUACCCAAAGAAUAAGCACCGGCUAACUUCGUG
rnacentral:rRNA from 1 species